rnacentral:rRNA from 1 species
AGUGAAUAGAUACCCGGGUAGUCCACGCUGUAAACGAUGUUCACUAGGUGUUGGGGGUAUUGACCCUCUCAGUGCCGUAGCUAAACGCAUUAAGUGAACCGCCUGGGAAGUACGGUCGCAAGACUAAAACUCAAAGGAAUUGACGGGGGCCCGGCACAAGCGGUGGAGCAUGUGGUUUAAAUUCGAUGCAACGCGAAGAACCUUACCUGGGCUUGACAUCCCAAGAAUCCCCUGGAAACAGGGGAGUGCCCUUCGGGUAGCUUGGAGACAGGUGCUGCAUGGCUGUCGUCAGCUCGUGUCGUGAGAUGUUGGGUUAAGUCCCGCAACGAGCGCAACCCUUGCCUUUAGUUGCCAUCAUUCAGUUGGGCACUCUAAAGGGACUGCCGGUGUCAAACCGGAGGAAGGUGGGGAUGACGUCAAGUCCUCAUGGCCUUUAUGCCCAGGGCUACACACGUGCUACAAUGGGCGGUACAAAGAGCAGCGAGCUCGCGAGAGUAAAGCAAACCCUCAAAAACGCCGUCCUCAGUUCGGAUUGGAGUCUGCAAC